rnacentral:tRNA from 1 species
GGUGGCUCCAUGGUAGAGUGCUUGCCUUGCAUGCAAGAGGCCCUGGGUUCAAUUCCUCAGCACCA